AUGAACGCUGGCGGCGUGCUUAACUCAUGCAAGUCGAACGGUGAACACGGAGCUUGCUCUGUGGGAUCAGUGGCGAACGGGUGAGUAACACGUGAGCAACCUGCCCCUGACUCUGGGAUAAGCGCUGGAAACGGCGUCUAAUACUGGAUAUGUGACGUGACCGCAUGGUCUGCGUUUGGAAAGAUUUUUCGGUUGGGGAUGGGCUCGCGGCCUAUCAGCUUGUUGGUGAGGUAAUGGCUCACCAAGGCGUCGACGGGUAGCCGGCCUGAGAGGGUGACCGGCCACACUGGGACUGAGACACGGCCCAGACUCCUACGGGAGGCAGCAGUGGGGAAUAUUGCACAAUGGGCGCAAGCCUGAUGCAGCAACGCCGCGUGAGGGAUGACGGCCUUCGGGUUGUAAACCUCUUUUAGCAGGGAAGAAGCGAAAGUGACGGUACCUUCAGAAAAAGCGCCGGCUAACUACGUG
rnacentral:rRNA from 1 species